UAAUUAAUUAAUGAAUUAAUUAAUUAAUUAAUUAAAUAAUUAAAAUAAAUAUAUAAAUAAAAUAUAACAAAUUAUUUUGGACUUGGGUCUCCCUCAUUCCAAGCCCAUUACCCACGAAAUUAGUCUAUAAAUACUGAAGUUUCAGUAGGGGAGUGAGACUUGGAGUUUACACUGGGAGAUUCACUGGAGAAAGAAGGAAGAGAAGCAAAACACUCUGAGGUUUCCUUGGAACAAAA
rnacentral:lncRNA from 1 species